rnacentral:lncRNA from 1 species
GCAGAGAUGGCUGCCUCGCUUCGCGUUCCUAGGAAACUACGCAGUAUUUUGUUUUUUUAUGUGUUAUUUCUCACAUUGUUACCCCAGGUAAUCUUAUUACAUACAGUCGGGAGGAACUAUUGGAUAUAAGAGCAAUGUCAACUCACCAACAUUACGACCAGGAAUACGACUUUCCCGAAGCGGAUCCUCUGUUUUGCUCACCACCCAGGACAAUGGAUUGGAUCCCAGCCAGCGACCCAAAACAACGACGCCGUAGAAGGGGCAGACGGAGCGGUCUUCUGGUCAGGCUCCGUAGAUGGACACAUCGCGCACCGCUCCCGAGCAUACUACUCGCCAAUGUCCAGUCUCUUGACAACAAGGUAGACGAAAUCUGUGCAAGGGUUGCCUUCCAGAGAGACAUCCGAGACUGUAACGUUCUUUGUUUCACGGAAACAUGGCUCACUCGAGACACGCUAUCAGAGUCGGUACAGCCAGCUGGUUUCUUCACACAUCGCGCCGACAGAAACAAGCAUCUUUCUGGACCUGAGCCCUAGGACCAUGCCUCAGGUCUACCUGGCAUGAUGACUCCUUGCUGUCCCCAGUCCACCUGGCCGUGCUGCUGCUCCAGUUUCAACUGUUCUGCCUGCGGCUAUGGAACCCUGACCUGUUCACCGGACGUGCUACCUGUCCCAGACCUGCUGUUUUCAACUCUCUAGAGACAGCAAGAGCGGUAGAGAUACUCUCAAUGAUCGGCUAUGAAAAGCCAACUGACAUUUACUCUUGAGGUGCUGACUUGUUGCACCCUCGACAACUACUGUGAUUAUAAUAAUUUGACCAUGCUGGUCAUUUAUGAAUAUUUGAACAUCUUGGCUAUGUUCUGUUAGAAUCUCCAUCCAGCACAGCCAGAAGUGGACUGGCCACCCCUCAUAGCCUGGUUCCUCUCUAGGUUUCUUCCUAGGUUUUGGCUUUUCUAGGGAGUUUUUCCUUGCCACCGUGCUUCUACAACUGCAUUGCUUGCUGUUUGUUUUUUUUGGCUGGGUUUCUGUUCAGCACUUUGAGAUAUCAGCUGAUGUAAGAAACGCUAUAUAAAUACACCCUACCUGACACCCUAUACCCACUCCAAUUUGCUUACC